CUUUGACAGUAUGGAUGGUGUUCUUGGGGUCAUAGGCAGCAUUCCUCCUCCUCCAAACACGGGUUGAGUUGAUGCCAAAGAGCUUAAUUUUGGUCUCAUCUGACCACAACACUUUCAACCAGUUCUCCUCUGAAUCAUUCAGAUGUUCAUUGGCAUACUUCAGAUGGGCCUGUACAUGUGCUUUCUUGAGCAAGGGGACCUUGAGGAUGCUGCAAGAUUUCAGUCCUUCACAGCGAAAUGUGUUACCAAAUGUUUUCUUGGUGACUAUGGUCCCAGCUGCCUUGAGAUCAUUGAAAAGAUUGUCUGUGUAGUUCUGGGCUGAUUUCUCACCAGAUCAUUGAAACUCCACGAGGUGAGAUCUUGCAUGGAGCAACAGACUGAGGGAGACUGACAGUUAUUUUGUGUUUCUUCCAUUUGCAAAUAAUUGCACCAACUGUUGUCACCUUCUCAC